AGCAGCCGCGGUAAUUCCAGCUCCAAUAGCGUAUAUUAAAGUUGUUGCAGUUAAAAAGCUCGUAGUUGAAUUUCGGGAUCAAUAUGUUGGUCGUGCCUCGGUACGUACUAGCAUAUUGGUUUCUCCUUCUGAAGAACCAUGAUGUCAUUUAUUUGGUGUCGUGGGGAAUCAGGACUGUUACUUUGAAAAAAUUAGAGUGUUUAAAGCAGGCUCACGCUUGAAUACAUUAGCAUGGAAUAAUGAAAUAGGACGUUUGAUUCUAUUUUGUUGGUUUCUAGGAUCGACGUAAUGAUUAAUAGGGAUAGUUGGGGGCAUUAGUAUUCAAUUGUCAGAGGUGAAAUUCUUGGAUUUAUUGAAGACUAACUACUGCGAAAGCAUUUGCCAAGGAUGUUUUCAUUAAUCAAGAACGAAAGUUAGGGGAUCGAAGACGAUCAGAUACCGUCGUAGUCUUAACCAUAAACUAUGCCGACUAGGGAUCGGAUGAUGUUAAUUUUUUAA
rnacentral:misc_RNA from 1 species